rnacentral:lncRNA from 1 species
CCCACCGUCCCCAUCCCCGGAGCGGUUCACGGAUGCGGCCUUGAGAGAGCAACGUGUUGUCGAGACCGUCUGCCUGGUUACCUCUUCAGGCAUUUUCAGUCAGCCUGGUCCAAGACUCCAUGCAGGAAUUGACAAAGCAGCCUAGAUAGCCCAGCUUCCUUGGCUGAAAGACUUAUAAUCAGGGAAAGAAGAAACAAAAGUUUGAGUGUCUGUUUUAGUUCAGACACCACAAAUCUGGAUGUGGCUGGGAGAAGAAAGCGAUUGUGUUACGUGUUUCUGGAAGAGAUUAGGAUUUGAAUUGGUGGACUGAGUAAAGAAGAUGGCUCGCACUCCUGUGGAUGAGCAUCCUCCAAUUGCUUGAGGGUCUGAAGAGAGCAAAAAGGCAGAGGAGGGGUGGCUUUGCUUGGUUUGAGCUGAGACAUCCAUCUUCUCCUGCCCUCUGACAUCAGCAUUCCUGGUUCUCUGGGCUUUGGACCCAGACCAGUGUUUAUACUAUCAGCUGCCUAGUUCUCGAGCCUUUGAACUUGGGCCUACAGCAUUGGCUCCCCUGGGUCUCAGGCCUUCAGACUCCAACUGAACACCCCAGCUUUCCUGGAUCUCCAGCUUGCAGACAGCAGGUCAUGGAACUUCUUGGCUUCCAUAAUCACGUGAGCCAAUUCCUGUAAUAAAUCUCCUUUUGUGUAUAUCUGUUUAUAUCCUAUUAGUUCUGUUUCUCUGGAGAACCCUGACUAAUACAGUGAAUUUUAGGGAUAUAAAUAUAAAUCCUUUCUAUGUAAAC